UUAAAUAUAGGUUGAACAUGAUUUGCAAAUCAUUGUAUUCUGUUUUUAUUUAUGUUUAACACAACGUCCCAACUUCAUUGGAAUUGGGGUUGUACAUUAAGCCAGUUCAGUCAGCACUGAUUGUUGAUGUUUCACUACGGAUAGAAAUAAUCAGAGAAACAAAGGCAGAGUCGACGUAAGAGGUGGUCCAGAGAGGGGGCAUAAGACAAAGAACAAUUACGUAUUUCACGUGAAAUACGGGCAACUUUCGUAGACCAUGUUCUUUUCCUUGGUUUACCAAUGAGGGAAGAGGAAAGGCAGCGAGUGGAGCCCAACCGAAGCAGAUUCACUGAUUUCACCUUAGACUAAAGAUUGAGACACGUGAACAGGUCAAUUCAAUGGUGGAAAAAGUUUUGUAAUGAUUCUGGUGUCAUUGUCUCCCAUUACUCCAAAGUGGGAUUGUACUGGACAUUGUACAAAUCCACUCUUGGUGCUGCUGCAAACUCCACCACUAAUUGGAUCUGGCAUGGACUGUAAUGGCUUUGCAAUCUACGGGGAGCUUGAGCAGCGGGAAAAAAAAAAUUAAAAUCACCCUUCAUUUUUUUCUGGUAUCAUUCAAGUGACCACACAGGGAACGAUGGCGACACAUGGCUCGCUUCUGCGUCCAAAUGGGCCAGGAGCACUCAUCUUUCAGGUUUGAGGAAAUCACAUUGGUGGCCACACCUUAGACAGAUUUAGCUUUGGGUCGUGGAGAUGCUUUUAAAAAGAAUAAAUAAACGCUGAGGAAAACAGUCUGGCGAAACCUCUUGGGCCCACGAUACUGUUUUACUGGUUGCACUCACAGUGGGUUUAAUGGGUGCGACUCAAAGUGCAAGGCCUGGAAUUCCCCCAAAAUGGCUGCUUCAAACAAAUACCGUAAUUUGUCAUGUAUAAUGCACAUUUGUCAUGUAUAAUGCACAUUUUCUUUACCAAAAGUCAAUAGUGCGCAUUAUACAUAGGUAUAAGAGAAAAUGAAAAAGACUUUCACAUUUUAUAAAUGUAUGCCGCCAUCUAGAGGUUUUGAAAAAGCUGUACACUUUCAUUCCACUAUGCUACCGCUCCCUACAAGUUAUACACUUGUAUUCUAGUAUGCCACCUAGAGGUUAUGAAAAAGGUGUAGACUACACUUUCAUUCCAAUAUGACAGGGGUACAUAUGACUGCAUAUAUGUACAAUUGUGCUCAUAAGUUUACAUACCCAGGUAGAAUUUGUGAGAUUUUCUUUUAUUUAUUUAUUUAUUUAUUUUUUAAAUACAACUGAUGACUGAGGCGGCACGGUGGG